UGGAAGUGUGGUGACAUAUGGAGCUGAUCUGUACUAAUAGGUCGAGGGCUUAACCG
rnacentral:rRNA from 1 species